rnacentral:snRNA from 12 species
ACUAUUGUGCAGUAGCAGUAUCAUAGCCAAUGAGGUUUAUCUGAGGCAUGAUUAUUGCUAAUUGAAAUUUUGGUUCCAGAUUUUU